AAUGGGAAUGCAUAGGAUUGUGGUUUAGAACACUGAAUGUAGACAUAGAUGGAGUUUCUUCAGGUCUGCAGAAGUUUGACUCUACCGAAUGGAACAACAUUUUCUGCUGCUGGGGCUAGAUUUUGGAUCAAGUAUAUUAAAACACACACAC